CAGUCGCCGCGGUAAUACGGAGGGAGCUAGCGUUGUUCGGAAUUACUGGGCGUAAAGCGUGCGUAGGUGGUUGUUUAAGUCUGCUGUGAAAGCCCUGGGCUCAACCUGGGAAUUGCAGUGGAUACUGGGCGACUAGAGUAAGGUAGAGGAUAGUGGAAUUUCCGGUGUAGCAGUGAAAUGCGUAGAGAUCGGAAGGAACAUCUGUGGCGAAGGCGACUAUCUGGGCCAACACUGACACUGAGGCACGAAAGCGUGGGGAGCAAACAGGAUUAGAUACCCCAGUAGUCCCUGUCUCUUAUAC
rnacentral:rRNA from 1 species